UACGGAGGGUGCAAGCGUUGUUCGGAUUUAUUGGGCGUAAAGCGCGUGUAGGCGGUUUCUUAAGUCUGAUGUGAAAGCCCUGGGCUCAACCCAGGAAGUGCAUUGGAUACUGGGAGACUUGAAUACGGGAGAGGGUAGUGGAAUUCCUAGUGUGGGAGUGAAAUCCGUAGAUAUUAGGAGGAACACCGGUGGCGAAGGCGGCUACCUGGACCGAUAUUGACGCUGAGACGCGAAAGCGUGGGGAGCAAACAGG
rnacentral:rRNA from 1 species